rnacentral:lncRNA from 1 species
GGGUCAAUCGGGUUCGGGUCCAAAAACACCACCCGGCCCAAUCCACGGGUGGAGAGUUGUAGUCCAUACCAAACCAUUUUUUAGACUCGGGUCGAGCGGGUUCGGGUAGAACGGUUCGCGGGUUGGACGGAUGGACUCAAACGGUUUUAGAUGAAAGAAAUGAAAAAAAUAAAUCUGCAAAGAAAAAAUUCAAAAUCAUCUUCUGAUAACAAUUUACUAGUAUAUGAAUAUGAAAAGUAUCCAGAAACACCUUUUAAUAUAUAAAUUAUUGUUGAAAACAAAGAAAUAAAAUAGAUUUAGAGCAUGGUGUUGGGCAUGUGAAGUGGAAACAGAUUGGAGAGAAGAGAAACAAAGAAGGAUAAUGUAGUUUCAAUGUGAAGGAAGUGAAAUAGAUUAGAGAAACAAGCAGAAAUAGAAGACAAGAUUUCUACGAUAGUAGAAGACAAAUGGUUAAAAUGAAAGAAACAGCAAAAUAUUAGAUAUGAAUUUAUUUUUAGAGAGAGAAAAAAAUUGAUAUAAAAUGCAUUGAUUUGUGUUCUCAAUGCGUAGUAGUAGUAAAUAAUAAUAAAUUUGAAUACUAGUGGGGUGGUGGGUCACGAGACAGUUGUCUUUCUCU